UGGGGAAUUUUGGACAAUGGGCGAAAGCCUGAUCCAGCAAUGCCGCGUGCAGGAUGAAGGCCUUCGGGUUGUAAACUGCUUUUGUACGGAACGAAAAAGCUUCUCCUAAUACGAGAGGCCCAUGACGGUACCGUAAGAAUAAGCACCGGCUAACUACGUGCCAGCAGCCGCGGUAAUACGUAGGGUGCGAGCGUUAAUCGGAAUUACUGGGCGUAAAGCGUGCGCAGGCGGUUAUGUAAGACAGGUGUGAAAUCCCCGGGCUCAACCUGGGACCUGCAUUUGUGACUGCAUAGCUAGAGUACGGUAGAGGGGGAUGGAAUUCCGCGUGUAGCAGUGAAAUGCGUAGAUAUGCGGAGGAACACCGAUGGCGAAGGCAAUCCCCUGGACCUGUACUGACGCUCAUGCACGAAAGCGUGGGGAGCAAACA
rnacentral:rRNA from 1 species